rnacentral:rRNA from 1 species
GCCUCGGGAAUAAGAGGGUGGCAAGACUGGUGUCAGCCGCCGCGGUAACACCAGCCCCUCGAGUGGUGGGGAUGAUUAUUUGGCCUAAAGCGUCCGUAGCCGGCCGGGUAAGUUUCCCGUUAAAUCCAGCGUCUCAAGCGUUGGACUGCGGGAAAUACUGCCCGGCUAGAGAGUGGGAGAGGUGUACGGUAUUCUGGGGGUAGGGGCGAAAUCCUUUGAUCCCCGGAGGACCACCAGUGGCGAAGGCUGUACACUAGAACACGUCUGACGGUCAGGGACGAAAGCUGGGGUAGCGAACCGGAUUAGAUACCCGGGUAGUCCCAGCUGUAAACGAUGCAUGCUAGGUGUUGGGUUGGCCACGAGCCACCCCAGUGCCGCAGGGAAGCCGUUAAGCAUGCCGCCUGGGAAGUACGAUCGCAAGAUUGAAACUUAAAGGAAUUGGCGGGGGAGCACCACCAGGCGUGAAGCCUGCGGUUUAAUUGGAGUCAACGCCGGGAACCUUACCGGAAGCGACAGCAGAGUGAAGGCCAGAUUGAAGAUCUUGCCAGACGAGCUGAGAGGAGGUGCAUGGCCGUCGCCAGUUCGUGCCGUGAGGUGUUCUCUUAAGUGAGAUAACGAACGAGACCCGUGCCACAUGUUGCCACCAGAAUCUAAAGGAUUGCUGAGCACUCUUGUGGGACCGCAGCCGAUAAGGCUGAGGAAGGGGCGGGCAACGGCAGGUCAGUAUGCCCCGAAUCUUCCGGGCCACAUGCGGGCUGCAAUGGUAUGGACAGAGGGCUGCCACCCCGAAAGGGGGAGCCAAUCCCUAAACCAUACCUCAGUUGGGAUUGAGGGCUGCAACCCGCCCUCAUGAAC